rnacentral:rRNA from 1 species
GGAUGAACGCUGGCGGCGUGCCUUAGGCAUGCAAGUCGAACGGUUGCCUUCGGGCAACAGUGGCAGACGGGUGAGUAACGGGUAGGAAUCUACCCCUUGGUAGGGAAUAACUCAUCGAAAGAUGGGCUAAUACCGUAUAAGUUCGUAAGAAGAAAGGGCGUAACUGCCCGCCGAGGGAUGUGCCUGCCUGCUAUCAGCUAGUUGGUGAGGUAAUGGCUCACCAAGGCUAUGACGGCUAGGGGGCGUGAGAGCGUGAUCCCCCACAAUGAAACUGCGACACGGUUCAUACAUCUACGGAUGGCAACAACCAGGAAUAUUGCGCAAUGGACGAAAGUCUGACGCAGCGACGCCGCGUGCGGGAUUAAGGCCUUCGGGUCGUAAACCGCUGUGGAGAGGAAUGAAUAAGAUGACAGUACCUUUCUAGAAAGCACCUGCUAACUACGUGCCAGAAGCCUCGGUAAUACGUAGGGUGCUAGCGUUAUCCGGAAUCACUGGGCGUAAAGGGUUUUGUAGGCGGUAAGUUAAGUGGUGGGUUAAAGACUAAGGCUCAACCUUAGAUAUGCCCAUCAAACUAGCUAACUAGAGAUAGUUUGGGGAUGCUGGAAUUCUCGGUGUAGUAGUGAAAUGCGUUGAUAUCGAGAAGAACACCAAAGGCGAAGGCAGGCAUCUAAGACUAUACUGACGCUGAUAAACGAAAGCUGGGGGAGCGAAAGGGAUUAGAGACCCCUGUAGUCCCAGCCGUAAACGAUGGACACUAGCUGUUUGCUCUUUAAGAGUGAGUGGCGCAAGCUAACGCGUUAAGUGUCCCGCCUGGGGAGUACGACCGCAAGGUUAAAACUCAAAGGAAUUGACGGGGAUGCGCACAACCAGCGUGCCAUGUGGUUUAAUUCGAUACAAAACGAUGAACCUUACCUAGACUUGACAUCCUGAUCAUAUCUUUAGGAAACUAGAGAGUCGGUUCGGCCGGAUCAGUGACAGCUGUUGCAUGGUUGUCGUCAGUUCGUGUCGUGAGGCGUCCUGUUAAGUCAGGUAACGAACGCAACCCCUGUUGCAUGUUAAAUAUCCAUGCAAGACUGCCCCUCUUAUUGGGGGGGAGGAAGGAGGGGACGACGUCAAAUCAGCAUGACGCUUACGUCUAGGGCUACACACAUGGUGUAAUGGGUGGUACAACGGGUCGCGACAGGGUAACCUUGAGCUAAUCCUUAUAAAACCACCCUCAGUUCGGAUUGGGGGCUGCAAUUCGCCCCCAUGAAGGGGAGUUGGUAGUAAUCGCAGGUCAGCUAUACUGCGGUGAAUACGUUCUCGCAUCUUGUACUCACCGCC